GACAGGGCGACUCGCCUACACAGCCUGGGGCUCCGGCAUGGGGGCUGCCCGUCUUACCUGGACCGUUUCUCCAGUCCCAACACUGAUUCCUCUCUGUUUGCACCCCUUGGCCUGUCACCAUACUCCCAGCGUCCCUGGUCCCGUUUGAUGGUGGCCCCUCUGUCCUGAUUUGCAGCAAUCCGCGGCUCGCGUCUGCCCAGGGCCCCGCAGCUGCCCGCGAGGGUUCUCAGCCAAGCCCGCGUCCCCGUGGGCACAUGAGCCUGAACGAAAUCUAGUCGUGUUUUCUAUUACGUUCAUUUCCUGCUUGCAGCCAUGAACUCAAUUUAUGCAACAGGGUAACUAAAUUCUUCAUAUACUUCCCAGCAUUUUCUUAAUUUUUCCUUUCUUCUCCCAUAGGAUAAAGAAUUCUGUAUUUUUUUCCUGAGUCAGUUUUAAUCCCACAGGAUGUGAGAAAUGAUGAAACUUGCUGUGUGUUUAUAUUCCUGCUAAGCUGAAACUAAGACUAUUCAGCUGUGAAGGCGUCUGGGGUGGCCAAAGUGACCCUCAGACUAUGGCAGGGGCAGUGACCCCAGGGCCUGAGAGCCGAGCUUUCCAGGUUUCAUCCCAUUUCAUCACUGUAUCUAGUUCGUCAUCUUGCACUUCCCCCUUCACCGGAGCCCUACCUCCUACCUUCCUCUCGCCUCUUCUCUUUCAAACCUCCGAGGGUCUUAGGGCAAGUGCCGAAGAGCUCACGUCGGGAUGGGAAUCCGUGUGCAGUUUUCCUGGGGACGCCUGUCCGGAAUGACAUGCCCACAGAAAAGAACGAAGCAGCACUGAACGGAGGGAGACGUGGGACUUGGACACAGUAAUCCCUGUUCCCCACCAAGAAAAUCCAUGGUCACUGCUUCCUUUUCAAGCCACUGCAUGGCACAGCCGCCCAGUGAUCGGCACCGCCCUGUCACCUCUAUCCUUGUCUGCUUUGCCGGCUUUUGAUCACAGACUGGCCCCAAUAAAGGCCAGGGGUGCAGCCCGGGUUGGCGUCCUACCCCCCCUUCAGCCUCGUCCUCUGGUCUGCGAGUGAGGGUGACAGGCAGCACCUCUGCAGCGCCCGGGACACAGGCAGUGCUGAGAAUGAGCAUGAGAAGUAAGAAAGACCUCAACUUAAAUGAUUUCCAUUGACUGCAUUUCACCAUCAUUUGCUGAAGACGCUCUGAGCUUUCCACUCCCUGGGUCCUUACAGGCUCGAGGACGCCUUCCCAACAGGACAACAGUCCAAGGACAGGCCGCGCUGUGUCUCUGGAAGGCUUGAGAUGACACUCUGUGGGCUUGUGAUAGUGAGUGCCUCUCACCGAAGCUUCCCCAAGCAUGACUUCAUUGACUCAAUUUAAUUGGAAGGUGCUUUUUUUCCCAAGAAGGGCUCAGAAGUGCUUUGGUUCCUGAGUUCUAUCAUAUUUGGAGGAGUCUGCCCCUUGCCUUUGUACGUGAGGCACAGCAUGAGAGCAGGCGCAUUCUCUCGGGUCUUCUGCAGCCUGAAAGUUGUUCUCACAGGCUGCUGGGACGAGCCUGGGGCUAGCCCAGGCGGCCCCCAUCUUUCCUUAUGAGCAGCUGCUUUUCAACUCGGGUGCCUGUGUCUGAAGGACUGUCAUCUUGGAAGGGAGUAACUCGGAUGCAUGGUGUUGGUGCUAAGGACUUGCCCGAGGUCAACUGCUCCACAUCUGUCCUUCUCGGGGGAGGAUGAGCUCUUUCACUCUGCAGAUGCAAUUCCUCCUUUAUUCCAGAUCCUCUCUUCACAUGCUACCGUUCCCUCCGCAUCCACUGUGAUGGUCUUUCCUCUAUUAAAGCACUUCCACUUCAGCUCGGUCAUAUCCCUUGUUAUUUCUCGUUUAUUCAGAAGUUUAUCAUCACUUUUGCACAGUGUCCUGCAAGGUCUUUGGAGUUUUCCCACUGCAGCCCAGCUCACCCUA